GAAUGGACUGGGUUACAAUUUUAUGAACUUUGAAAGUGUUGGAAGAACUACCUGAAGUCCAGUAUCUGGAAUCCAACACGAUCUGAUGGUAGCCAUAGCAACAGAGCCUAGUGAGGAGGCAAAGUGUGAGGAGAGACUUCCUUGAACCAAGCAGUAAUUCAGUCCAGUAGUCAAGGCAGCCAUAUGCUAUGGGCAACAGAUCUACUUGUCCAUAGGAUUUGCCACACUCAUAAGUCAUCUUGGUUGGGUUCAUCCUGGAACAUCGAAUACUAGUGUCUUCCUGAUCAAUGAGCUGUUGAAUGAUGGAAAAGGCAUUGCAUUAAAUGCUUGGGAUACAAAGCAAAAGGAGAAAACAGUUCCUGACCUCAAGAAGCUUAUGUUCUAUUGGGGGAGUCAAAAUAUAAAUAAAAAGAUGAGGAAACUUGAGGUGAAGAAAGGUCAGAAUUUGCCCAGAAUCACACAGCUGACAAGUGUUGGCUCCUUGGGAUCCUGAUGU
rnacentral:lncRNA from 1 species